CGGGUGCGUAACGCGUAUGCAAUCUACCUUUUACAGAGGGAUAGCCCAGAGAAAUUUGGAUUAAUACCUCAUAGUAUAUAUGAAUGGCAUCAUUUAUAUAUUAAAGUUCCAACGGUAAAAGAUGAGCAUGCGUCCCAUUAGUUAGUUGGUAAGGUAACGGCUUACCAAGACAAUGAUGGGUAGGGGUCCUGAGAGGGAGAUCCCCCACACUGGUACUGAGACACGGACCAGACUCCUACGGGAGGCAGCAGUGAGGAAUAUUGGACAAUGGGCGCAAGCCUGAUCCAGUCAUGCCGCGUGCAGGAAGACGGUCCUAUGGAUUGUAAACUGCUUUUGUACAGGAAGAAACACUACUUCGUGAAGUAGCUUGACGGUACUGUAAGAAUAAGGAUCGGCUAACUCCGUGCCAGCAGCCGCGGUAAUACGGAGGAUCCAAGCGUUAUCCGGAAUCAUUGGGUUUAAAGGGUCCGUAGGCGGUUUAAUAAGCCAGUGGUGAAAUCUGGUCGCUCAACGAUCAAACGGCCAUUGAUACUGUUAAACUUGAAUUAUUGUGAAGUAACUAGAAUAUGUAGUGUAGCGGUGAAAUGCUUAGAUAUUACAUGGAAUACCAAUUGCGAAGGCAGGUUACUAACAAUAUAUUGACGCUGAUGGACGAAAGCGUGGGUAGCGAACAGGAUUAGAUACCCUGGUAGUCCACGCCGUAAACGAUGGAUACUAGCUGUUGGGCGCAAGUUCAGUGGCUAAGCGAAAGUGAUAAGUAUCCCACCUGGGGAGUACGUUCGCAAGAAUGAAACUCAAAGGAAUUGACGG
rnacentral:rRNA from 1 species